GUGCCAGACAGAAGGUAAAAGUCAGAAGAAGAAGAAGUAAAAGAAAGAAGGAGCUCUGGCCGAAUCAAGUCGGCCACCAUCCAAUAAGCGGGCUUCACCCCGACGACAAAGUUCAAGGUCGAGUUACAGUAGGUAUGACUCCUAUACUUCUCUUUCUGCUCCUCAUGCAUAGAUCCUCAUGGAGAUCGAAGGAGCGAAACAUCUACAACACCCCCCACCGAUGAAGGCAUUGCCGAGAAAUCACUAUCGAAAGAAAUAUUAUCGGUUCUAUCGUGAUCACGGUCACGAUAUCGAAUAAUGUAUUCAGCUCAGGGAUGAGAUAGAAGCUCUGAUUCGAUGAGGCUAUCUCGGCAAAUAUCAGAGAGAUCCACCGACUCAACCUCCU
rnacentral:lncRNA from 1 species